rnacentral:sRNA from 1 species
CUCACUGACAAGCCGCAGAGAGAAAGACACUGAGAGGGAGAUGAUUAUUAGUUGCGUUGAGUCAUCAGGCAAAGGACCAGAGGACAGCACAUCAUUGCUCAGGUGUCACUUAACUCCCAGAACACAUGAAGUGGCUUAGGCUAGUUGAACCCAGAGAUCUGCCUGUCUAUGCCUCCCACCCUGGGACUACAUACAUGCAUCAGCACAUCCAACUCUUUAGACUGUGGAUUCUGGAGGUUGAAUUCAACCACAUCUGCUUAUAAGUCAUUUUAGCCAGAGACAAGAAUGACUCUACCUUAAAUUCAAUCAUGAAGGAAUACGAUAACACUGGAAUCCUAUAGUUCUUGUAAGACUUUACCAAAGUUUUGUCUGGGGAUUAACAAAUGAUGUACUUUCUCUAAGCUGGCAGAUGGUGCUGCCG